AACGAACGCUGGCGGCAGGCCUAACACAUGCAAGUCGAACGCCCUAGCAAUAGGGAGUGGCAGACGGGUGAGUAACACGUGGGAACGUUCCUUUCGGUUCGGAAUAACCCAGGGAAACUUGGACUAAUACCGGGUACGUGCGAGAGCAGAAAGAUUUAUCGCCGAAAGAUCGGCCCGNGUCCGAUUAGCUAGUUGGUGAGGUAACGGCUCACCAAGGCGACGAUCGGUAGCUGGUCUGAGAGGAUGAUCAGCCACACUGGGACUGAGACACGGCCGGACUCCUACGGAGGCAGCAGUGGGGAAUAUUGGACAAUGGGCGCAAGCCUGAUCCAGCCAUGCCGCGUGAGUGAUGAAGGCCCUAGGUUGUAAAGCUCUUUCGCCAGGGACGAUAAUGACGGUACCUGGAU
rnacentral:rRNA from 1 species